rnacentral:tRNA from 1 species
GGGGCUAUAGCUCAGUGGUAGAGCACUUGCUCAGCAUGUGCAAGGCCCUGGGUUCCAUCCCCAGUACCUCCA